rnacentral:rRNA from 1 species
AAGUUGUUGCGGUUAAAAAGCUCGUAGUUUGAGUUGAGUUGCGGACUGGUGUGGGAGGUCACCNCCCGGUGCUUCCCCGUCAGGCUCCGAACAGCUUCCGUGAGUGGAAGCCAAGCCGGUUCUGCCGGGGUGCUCUUUACCGAGUGUCCCGCGCGGCCGGCCAGUUCACCUUGAAUAAAUGAGAGUGCUCAAAGCAGGCUACUCUGGAAUACAAUGCCCGAAUGUUAACUGCAUGGAAUGAUGGAAGAUGAUCUCGGUUCCAUUUUGUUGGUGGUGGGAGCCAGAGGUAAUGAUAAAGAGGGACUGUCGGGGGCAUCCGUACUACGACGCGAGAGGUGAAAUUCAGUGACCGUCGUAGGACGAACAACAGCGAAAGCAUUUGCCAAGAAUGUCUUCGUUGAUCAAGAACGAAAGUUAGAGGAUCGAAGGCGAUCAGAUACCGCCCUAGUUCUAACCCUAAACGAUGCUGACUAGCAAUUCGCCGUCGUUAUUCCCAUGACGUGGCGAGACGCCCCCGGGAAACCUCAAGUGUUUGAGUUCCGGGGGUAGUAUGGUUGCAAAACUGAAACUUAAAGGAAUUGACGGAAGGGCACCACCAGGAGUGGAGCCUGCGGCUUAAUUUGACUCAACACGGGAAAGCUCACCAGGCCCGGACACCAGAAGGAUUGACAGAUUAAGAGCUCUUUCUCGAUUU